GAUGAACGCUGACAGAAUGCUUAACACAUGCAAGUCAACUUGAACUUCGGUUUGGGUGGCGGACGGGUGAGUAACGCGUAAAGAACUUGCCUCACAGAUAGGGACAACAUUUGGAAACGAAUGCUAAUACCUGAUAUUAUGAUUUUAGGGCAUCCUAGGAUUAUGACAGCUAUAUGCGCUGUGAGAGAGCUUUGCGUCCCAUUAGCUAGUUGGAGAGGUAACGGCUCACCAAGGCGAUGAUGGGUAGCCGGCCUGAGAGGGUGAGCGGCCACAAGGGGACUGAGACACGGCCCUUACUCCUACGGGAGGCAGCAGUGGGGAAUAUUGGACAAUGGACCAAGAGUCUGAUCCAGCAAUUCUGUGUGCACGAUGAAGUUUUUCGGAAUGUAAAGUGCUUUCAGUUGGGAAGAAAAAAAUGACGGUACCAACAGAAGAAGUGACGGCUAAAUACGUG
rnacentral:rRNA from 1 species